GGGGAGAUAGCUCAGUGGAAGAGCACUUACUUGUCUGGCCUGCAUGAGGUCCUGGGUUUAAUUCCCAUCACUACA
rnacentral:tRNA from 1 species